rnacentral:rRNA from 1 species
AGUGAACGCUGGCGGUAGGCCUAACACAUGCAAGUCGAACGGCCGCACAGUAAGAGCUUGCCCUUGCGGUUGGCGAGUGGCGGACGGGUGAGGAGUACAUCGGAAUCUACUUUUUCGUGGGGGAUAACGUAGGGAAACUUACGCUAAUAGAGCAUACGACCUACGGGUGAAUGCAAGGGAUCUUCGGAGCUUGCGUGAUUCUAUGAGCCGAUGUCGGAUUAGCUAGUUGGGGGGGUAAGGGCCCACCAAGGCAACGAUCCGUAGCUGAGCUGAGAGGAUGAUCAGCCACACUGGAACUGAGACACGGUCCAGACUCCUACGGGAGGCAGCAGUAGGGAAUCUUCCGCAAUGGGCGAAAGCCUGAUGCAGCAACGCCGCGUGGGUGAAGAAGGCCUUCGGGUCGUAAAACUCUUUUGUUAGGGAAGAACAGAUGCGUAUGUAACCCCCCCUGUCUUGACGGUACCCAAUCAGAAAGCACCGGCUAACUACGUG